CGGUUAUCCACGAUGGGGAAUUGGAUUCUUGUAAAGGAAGAAAGCAUUGGAGAAUCGAAGUCUUCUCAAAUUCUGAGGAGGAAAUCGUCAAAAUUCAGAGUAUUCAAUCUGGAAAUCUGAACAUCGACCUCUUUAGAAUGCACUAUGCAGCGAUUAAAGGCCUCAGGAACUUCGAUUGUAGGCUCGAUUUCGGCUGCUAGGUUGAAGAGGAAGGCCGUAAAUUCAUGGACGGCCGUUCAGGAUACUUUCUAUUCCACCAAGGAUGUGUUCGAAAGGCACAGGGUGGUUUUUACAGUAGGGACUUCUGUUGCAUCAGUUGCAACUGCCUGGAUCGGGUACACAUUACGCCACUAUCAUGACAUCCAAGUUGACAGAAGGCUUGAAUCUAUUGAGGAAGCUAUGAGGAAAAAACAUCAACUUGAGGAUUCUGAACUUAAAAAGGUUGUUAAUCCGGGAAAUAUCAGCGUGCCUGCUUGCUUUGCUACUGCUGGAACUAGUUUGAUUAUUGGAUAUUGUUUGGGAUGGCGAGGUGGAAAACGGUAUGCAAACAAGCAAUUUAGAAGAGAGCAGAUGAAGUUGUUGGGGGAGAUUAAACCUAAAUGGCCAUUGCUCACGAGGCUAAAACCUAAAGAGAUGAACUUUCCAUUUAGGAGAUCAUUGGGCAAAGCUGGGAUGCAAGAAAGUGGCAGCCAAAUACGGAACAAAACUCCAAAAGAUGCUGCAGCACAAGAACAGCGGGAGAAAGUCACCAGUCCCGAUCAAUAGCAUCAGGAGGAAAUGGCGCAAUGUUCUUAAAUUUUGCUUCUGUCACCAUAUUCAGGGAUCUAACUGUUCAGCGGUAACUUGUGAAGUAUCAAGCACAUUGACAUUAUUAGUCACAAUUUUGUGAUUUUGGAAGGAAGCUUAGUUUCAUUGGCAUGAGGGCCAAAUCUUUGUAUUCAAUUUGUCUCAAACAGAGUUGAGUUGAGUUGGGGAUCUGAUGCAGAUUGUAUGUAUAUAUAUUGAAUGUUUGUAUAUAUGUUGAAGACGGAGGCAGUACUUCUUCCGUGCGUGUUCUGGUACUGUAAGGAAACAACCUGUCUUCUGAAUGUCUGUGACAAUAAGGUCAAUAAGGGUGACCUGAUCAUCCUCAUCCUGGUCAUCAAUGUUGUAUAUGACAUUUACUACUUCCGACGCCCGAACUCCAGCUCAUACUUCUCUUUUUGUCACGAUGCAAGUCUACUCAUGUGUGUGCUCUGCAUUUCAACAGUCAAUCUCAUGAUGUCGAUCAUUUCAACUUGGAAUGAUGGUCUCUUCCUCUUACUGCCUCGAGAUGACUUGGCAGGUGCGUGACAGUCCUGUGAUCUAAGUCGAACCUCAUCUUCAAGCUCUCUGAAUGCAUUCGUCACCAUCACGUAUGGGUCCUCACUUGAUUGCCAUACUGCUCUGUCUUUCCCAAAUACGGUGGAGAGGUCAUCGUAAUGUAGGAAUGACUUGUUCCAUAUCCCCUUCGCAUUGGGAUGACUCUGCAUUGAUACACAUACACAUUAUUAAUAUUUAUAUUAUAACACGUACCCGUACAUUUUUUUUUCUAGAAUCUUACCCGAACCCAAAGAUCGAAAAUCUCCCUCUCGACCUGGACACAUUUGAACUCCUUGUUCCAGCCAAACCCCGACUGACUUAACAUCUCUGAUACUGCGUUGUAUUGUUUCUUCAGACUCCUCACCUUGCACUCAAUGGUGUUCUGAUUCAGUGCUCCCCUGGGCACUUUCUCAUGCAGAAUUCGCUCCAAGUGUUGUAGGUAUCCUGGUCGAAAUGUCUCAUUGUCGGACCUUCAACCGGUCUCCACCAAAUAUAAUAGAGCUUCCACCAACUUAGCGUCCUCCACCUUCGACUAUACAUGUUUAUGUUGGAUGCAUAUGUUUGUUGAAUGAAAAGAUGCUAUAAAUUAAAUACAUGCACAAACAAAGGAUAAAC